UGGGGAAUCUUGGACAAUGGGGGCAACCCUGAUCCAGCCAUGCCGCGUGAGUGAUGAAGGCCUUAGGGUCGUAAAGCUCUUUCGCCUGUGAAGAUAAUGACGGUAGCAGGUAAAGAAACCCCGGCUAACUCCGUGCCAGCAGCCGCGGUAAUACGGAGGGGGUUAGCGUUGUUCGGAAUUACUGGGCGUAAAGCGCACGUAGGCGGACCAGAAAGUUGGGGGUGAAAUCCCGGGGGCUCAACCCCGGAACUGCCUCCAAAACUAUUGGUCUAGAGUUCGAGAGAGGUGAGUGGAAUUCCAAGUGUAGAGGUGAAAUUCGUAGAUAUUUGGAGGAACACCAGUGGCGAAGGCGGCUCACUGGCUCGAUACUGACGCUGAGGUGCGAAAGUGUGGGGAGCAAACAGGAUUAGAUACCCUGGGUAGUCCACACCGUAAAACGAUGAAUGCCAGUCGUCGGGUAGCAUGCUAUUCGGUGACACACCU
rnacentral:rRNA from 1 species